UAUUUCGUCUCAGUUUCUACAUCACAAUAUACAGCCAAUUAUCCAUUUUCUUCUUUGUCAGUACUUCCUGUAUACGUGAGAAUUUUGUGUACAUCAUCAUGAUGCCCAGCCCAAGUUUUGAAGUAGUCGGACGUAGCCGUUAAGCCACUUCGGAGGUCAACAUCAACCCAGAAGAACAUUUGUUUUGUCUGUUUCAAAACACCAGAUACAUACACGCGGUCUUAAUUUACCAUAUAAGACAUUUUAUUUUGCUAUCAGUUGAGUAUAUUUAAGAAGAAGAGUUAAGAACGCAUCACACGACGAACGCGAAAGUCGUUUUUUUUAUAACAUGCAAAACUUAUUAUAAGAAGGCCAGCAGACGACAAAGAAGUUAGUCUUGGAGACAGGUGGAACCCGGCGUACAAUUCCUUAAAUAAAAUCAAUUUCUGAGGUCACGCUAUGGUACCUGUACAAUAUGUUUAUAGAUACGUUGUUUUUAUAUGUUUGUUGAAUGUAUAUCCAGUGCCAGUGCCAGUGGUCAAAGCUAGUGACAAUUCUAUCAAAAUGUGUAAUUCGACUAAAACAGAUCAAAUAAAUUGCACAAGGAAUUCCUCCGUUUCGCAAAAUAAUGGAAAAAGUCAAGUAAACGUCGACCGAAACAGAAACGAAAGCCCGGUCGCAAUCCCAGAGUUCCAUUCACUCCCAAGCAGCUGACGACCCUGGAAAACAAGUUUGAAACAAUGAAGUACUUGACAAGUGAUGAAGUUCGUAGUUUGUGUUUGGAACUGACGUUACCGGAAAACAAAAUCAAAAUAUGGUUUCAAAAUCGACGAGCAAGAGAAAAAAGAAAAAGUUCACAAAGCAGCGAUGAAUAUGUUGACGUAAUGACAAUUGACGGGGAGAACAGUUAGCUAUGUAUGACGACACAUGCACUGAAAAUUAGUUAUAGUUUUUAUAGAGGUUUAUAGUUAGAAAAUCAGUUUUGCAAUCAUAGAGUUUGCAUUGUAGUAAUCUUGCACAGCGUACGUUCAACAGGACCUUUAUUUAUUGCUGUCAAUAUUCAAUAAUGAGCAUAGGAAUUUCAUCGAUGACGUCAUUCGAGCAUUUCCGCUUACAAAGAGAAAACACUUUGAAUGCAAAGUUUCAUAAUGGAACACAUCGUAAAAAACCUCAGGUUGUAACAUAGGAUAAAAAAUAAAACAUACUUAUACAUUCAUCAUGAUCUCAAUGUCCAUUUUUGUAAUAAAUAUAAAAAAUUAAAAUUGCAUUUAAAGUUGAGUGACUUAAAAUAAGGUUUACACUGCAGGUCGAUUUAAAGACUGCAACAACAAAA